rnacentral:rRNA from 1 species
GACGAACGCUGGCGGCAUGCUUAACACAUGCAAGUCGAACGAAACGGCCCUGCUUUUGUGCGCUGCUCGACUUGCGACCGGGUAAGUUACCCGUGAGUACCCUGUACUUGACUUUGGGGUAUCUUCAGAACGCUGAGUCUAAUCCCACCAAGGAGUUCUUGCUGCAGGGUGGGGGCUCGAAAGUUUCGGCGGUUGGGAGUGGACUGGCGGCCUAUCGGCUUGAUGGGUGGGUAGUGUAUUACCAUGGCCUUGACGGGUAGCAGGCCUGCGAGGGGCACCGGCCACAUUAGGACUGGGAUGCGGCCCAGACUCCUACGGGAGGCAGCAGUGGGGAAUAUUGCACAAUGGGCGGAAGCCUGAUGCAGCAACGCCGCGUGCGGGAUGACGGCCUUCGGGUUGUAAACCGCUGUCGCCUGAGACGAGGCGUGAGUGACGGUAAUGGGUAAAGAAGCACCGGCUAACUACGUG